rnacentral:rRNA from 1 species
CAGCCGCCGCGGUAAUACGUAGGUGGCAAGCGUUGUCCGGAAUUAUUGGGCGUAAAGGGCUCGCAGGCGGUUUCUUAAGUCUGAUGUGUAAGCCCCCGGCUCAACCGGGGAGGGUCAUUGGAAACUGGGAAACUUGAGUGCAGAAGAGGAGAGUGGAAUUCCACGUGUAGCGGUGAAAUGCGUAGAGAUGUGGAGGAACACCAGUGGCGAAGGCGACUCUCUGGUCUGUAACUGACGCUGAGGAGCGAAAGCGUGGGGAGCGAACAGGAUUAGAGACCCCCGUAGUCCCUGUCUCUUAUAC